AUUAAUUCAGCAAAACUGAUGGUCGUCCUCCUUUUUCCCUCCUCUCAGCUUUUCUUGAUUAUGCAAAAUCGAUAGUCUUCCUCCUUUUGCUAUCCUCUCGGCUUUUCUUGAUUACACCAUUUUGGCAUUGGCAUUUGUUAAACUAUGCCGGAUGAUUUAAUUUCUUUCUCCAUUCAUAAAAAGCAACUAUUCUGUGGUUUCUGCUCGUUCUUCUGCAAGAUUUGUAUGUAGUGUGCUAGCGUAAUGCCGGCACAAGUAACUACUGUGGACAAUGUAUGUGGAGAUAGGACAAUGUAGCUAUAAUGGAUGGAAGAUUUAAGCUUUUCGAAAGGUGACGUUUAGGUGAUGGAUCGUUGCAGCAAUUGGCAUAAAAUGGAGUUUACUACUCUCAUAAUUAGUAUAUCUCACAUAAAGAUUCAAAUACAUCACCUUCUUAUUUCAGAGAAAAGGAAAAAUAGCUUCCCUCUAUUUACAGGUUUUUGGUACGAAAGGAGGUCAGAAUGCUAAUUUUGGUUGCAUUUGCACUAUUGGAUUUUGUUAUAGGAUUUUCCAUAGUUAAUAAAGGGCUAGCUGUAAUACCUUUCCUUAAAAGGAUCAAAUGCAUAUUUUGGAUAGAUGAAGGAAGCGACCAAAAGAAAUGAAGACCAAAAAUAAUGCACAAAUCAGCGGAUUUUGCAAGCUUAUAGAGUAACUAAAGCACUGAGUCUUUAUGAAGAUAUGCAAGCUAGAUGUUUGAAUACCGAUGAAAUCACCUUUAAAUUGAUUAUUGUCACACCCCUAUUUUUAACUGCAUCCAACCCCACCAGGGAGUUGGUGUUGGAGAAAAUGAGUUUUUCCAAUUCAAGUGACGUUUUGAAAAGGAAUUAUUUAUUUUACAGAGUCGCCACUUGGAAUUGAGUUUGGGUGUUCAAAGUCACUUCAUUGAAUCCCUCUUCAAAAAAAUGACUCUUAAUUUUUGGUCUGCGAACUAGAAAUUCGGAUAAGAAAUUUUGUUGACCGAGGGAAAGGUGUUAGGCACCCCUCGAGUCCCAUGGUUCUAGCACGAUCGCUUUAAUGACUUAUGUCUGGCUUAAAUUAAUCUUUUAGAUAUAUAAUGUUUGUUAGCCUAAAAGUGACUUCUAUCCUGCUUCUAUUUAUUUUAGAAUAUAUUUAAAACUGUAUUGAUGUGUGGCUUACCGAUAGUAGUACUUUUCAUCCUUUCUACGAGUUUUGGUAUAUUUCUUGCGCCUUUGUGGCAUUUAUGAAUCGUCCCAUUUUUCAA